rnacentral:rRNA from 1 species
UCAAGCGCGAUAAGGGCGUUUGGUGGAUGCCUUGGCAGUAAGAGGCGAUGAAGGACGUGAUACUCUGCGAUAAGCCAUGGGGAGCUGAGAAUAAGCUUUGAUCCAUGGAUUUCCGAAUGGGGAAACCCACCUGAAACUUGAUUGUUGUUGCCUUCGGGCGGUCAACAAUUGGGUUAACCAGGUAUCUUUUACCUGAAUACAUAGGGUUUAAGAAGCGAACCCGGGGAACUGAAACAUCUAAGUACCCGGAGGAAAGGACAUCAAUAGAGACUCCGCUAGUAGUGGCGAGCGAACGCGGACCAGCCGAGCCUUGAGAGUGACGAGAACAGAUUGGAAAGUCUGGCCAUAGCGGGUGACAGCCCCGUAUCGGAAGCUCGAUGGGACGUAUCAAGUAGGGCGGGACACGUGAAAUCCUGUCUGAAGAUCGGGGGACCACCCUCGAAGGCUAAGUACUCCUUACUGACCGAUAGCGAACCAGUACCGUGAGGGAAAGGUGAAAAGCACCCCGACGAGGGGAGUGAAACAGUUUCUGAAACCGGACGCCUACAAGCAGUCGGAGCCCCCUUGAGGGGUGACGGCGUACCUUUUGUAUAAUGGGUCAACGACUUGGUCUGUCUAGCAAGCUUAAGCCGUUAGGUGUAGGCGCAGCGAAAGCGAGUCUUAAAUGGGCGACAUAGUUAGACGGAUCAGACCCGAAACCGAGUGAUCUAGGCAUGAGCAGGAUGAAGGUACGGUAACACGUACUGGAGGUCCGAACCCACACCUGUUGAAAAAGGUCGGGAUGACUUGUGCCUAGGGGUGAAAGGCCAAUCAAACUCGGAGAUAGCUGGUUCUCCGCGAAAGCUAUUUAGGUAGCGCCUCGGACGUAUUCCCUGGGGGGUAGAGCACUGCAUGGAUGAUGGGGGCCCACAGCCUUACUGAGUCUAAGCAAACUCCGAAUACCCAGGAGAACUAUCCGGGAGACACACGGCGGGUGCUAACGUCCGUCGUGGAGAGGGAAACAACCCUGACCAACAGCUAAGGCCCCCAAUUCGUGGCUAAGUGGGAAAGCAUGUGAGACUUCCAAAACAACCAGGAGGUUGGCUUAGAAGCAGCCAUCCUUUAAAGAUAGCGUAACAGCUCACUGGUCUAAUUAAGAGGUCUUGCGGCGAAGAUGUAACGGGGCUCAAGCCACGAGCCGAAGCUUUGGAUGCACUUUAGAGUGCGUGGUAGCGGAGCGUUCUGUGAUAUAGAACGCUGCCUCUUUAGCCCAGCAAUGGUCUACGGAGGCAAUGUUCUGACUGUGAAGCCGGGCCGUGAGGCAACCGGUGGAGUGAUCAGAAGUGAGAAUGUUGACAUGAGUAGCGACAAACAGGGUGAGAGACCCUGUCGCCGAAAGUCCAAGGGUUCCUGCUUAAAGCUAAUCUGAGCAGGGUAAGCCGGCCCCUAAGGCGAGGCCGAAAGGCGUAGUCGAUGGGAACCAGGUUAAUAUUCCUGGGCCAGGAGAUGGUGACGGAUCCCGAGGGUAGUUCGAUCUUAACGGAUUGAUCGGGCUGCUUAGGGGUCCCUGGAAAUAGCCCUCCACAAGACCGUACCCUAAACCGACACAGGUGGACUGGUAGAGAAUACCAAGGCGCUUGAGAGAACCACAUUUAAGGAACUCGGCAAAAUACCUCCGUAAGUUCGCGAGAAGGAGGCCCGGUUUUUGCGCAAGCAGAGGCCGGGGGCACAAACCAGGGGGUGGCGACUGUUUACUAAAAACACAGGGCUCUGCGAAGUCGUAAGACGACGUAUAGGGUCUGACGCCUGCCCGGUGCCGGAAGGUUAAAAGGAGAGGUGCAAGCCUUGAAUUGAAGCCCCGGUAAACGGCGGCCGUAACUAUAACGGUCCUAAGGUAGCGAAAUUCCUUGUCGGGUAAGUUCCGACCUGCACGAAUGGCGUAA